rnacentral:ncRNA from 1 species
AUGAUAGAGGUCGCAAUAUUAAUAAGUAAUUUUGUGGAGGUAAGCACAGUGAAGCAAAAUGAAAGGUAAUGUUGCCGAAAUAUAUAAGUGACGCUUUAAGCUUAUAUGUUGGGGUUAUGCAUAAUAUGUAUAACACUGUCACAUAAAUUUGUGGAGUGCUAUCUUU